rnacentral:tRNA from 1 species
CGAGAUAGCUCAGCUGGUAGAGCAGCCGCUUCGUAAGCGGCAGGUCGUGGGUUCGAACCCCAUUCUCGG